UAUACUGCCCGACGACUGGCAUUCAUCGUUUACGGUGUGGACUACCAGGGUAUCUAAUCCUGUUUGCUCCCCACACUUUCGUACCUCAGCGUCAGUAUCGAGCCAGUGAGCCGCCUUCGCCACUGGUGUUCCUCCAAAUAUCUACGAAUUUCACCUCUACACUUGGAAUUCCACUCACCUCUCUCGAACUCAAGACCAGGAGUUUAUGAGGCAGUUCCAGGGUUAAGCCCUGGGAUUUCACCCCAUACUUUCUGAUCCGCCUACGUACGCUUUACGCCCAGUAAUUCCGAACAACGCUAGCCCCCUCCGUAUUACCGCGGCUGCUGGCACGGAGUUAGCCGGGGCUUCUUUACUAGGUACUGUCAUUAUCAUCCCUAGCGAAAGAGCUUUACGACCCUAAGGCCUUCAUCACUCACGCGGCAUGGCUAGAUCAGGCUUUCGCCCAUUGUCUAAGAUUCCCCACUGCUGCCUCCCGUAGGAGUCUGGGCCGUGUCUCAGUCCCAGUGUUGCUGAUCAUCCUCUAAAACCAGCUAAAGAUCGUAGACUUGGUAGGCCAUUACCCCACCAACUAUCUAAUCUUACGCGGGCCAAUCCCUCACCGAUAAAUCUUUCCCCCGAAGGGCGUAUAUGGUAUUACUCUCAGUUUCCCGAGGCUAUUCCAUAGAAAGGGGUAUGUUCCCACGCGUUACUAACCCGUCCGCCGCUCCACCCGAAGGUAGCGCUCGACUUGCAUGUGUUAGGCCUGCCGCCAGCGUUCGUUCUGAGCCAGGAUCAAACUCU
rnacentral:rRNA from 1 species